GACGAACCGAGCGAACGUUGUUCGGAAUCACUGGGCUUAAAGGGCGCGUAGGCGGGCAUCAUAGUCUGUGGUGAAAUCCGGCAGCUUAACUGUCGAAUUGCCAUGGAUACUGGGUGUCUCGAGGGAGGCAGGGGUGCGCGGAACUAAUGGUGGAGCGGUGAAAUGCGUUGAUAUCAUUAGGAACUCCGGUGGCGAAGGCGGCGCACUGGUCCUUUUCUGACGCUGAGGCGCGAAAGCCAGGGGAGCAAACGGG
rnacentral:rRNA from 2 species